rnacentral:rRNA from 1 species
UGGUGGAGCGAUUUGUCUGGUUAAUUCCGAUAACGAACGAGACUCUGGCCUAUUAAAUAGUUCGCCGAUUCCGAUCUGCCGGCGUUAACUUCUUAGAGUGACAAGUGGCUUUUAGCCACGCGAGAUUGAGCAAUAACA